UUUAUAUGAUGACUCUGCCAUGCUAAUACUGAAAAAGCACUUUGGGGCUUUUUAUGUGUUCCAACUUUUCUCACGUAGACACUGAUCAAA